UAGUUGAUGUGUCUCUGGUAACUGGGA
rnacentral:piRNA from 1 species